UACGUAGGGGGCGAGCGUUGUCCGGAUUCAUUGGGCGUAAAGCGCGCGUAGGCGGCCUGGCAAGUCGGCCGUGAAAUCUCCCAGCUCAACUGGGAGGGGUCGGGCGAGACUGCGAGGCUCGAGGUGGGCAGAGGGCAGUGGAAUUCCGGGUGUAGUGGUGGAAUGCGUAGAGAUCCGGAGGAACACCAGUGGCGAAGGCGGCUGCCUGGGCCUGGCCUGACGCUGAGGCGCGAAAGCGUGGGGAGCAAACAGG
rnacentral:rRNA from 1 species